GAUGAACGCUAGCUACAGGCUUAACACAUGCAAGUCGAGGGGAAACGAUAUUGGAAGCUUGCUUCCGAUAGGCGUCGACCGGCGCACGGGUGAGUAACGCGUAUCCAACCUGCCCACCACUUGGGGAUAACCUUGCGAAAGUAAGACUAAUACCCAAUGAUAUCUCUAGAAGACAUCUGAAGGAGAUUAAAGAUUCAUCGGUGAUGGAUGGGGAUGCGUCUGAUUAGCUUGUUGGCGGGGUAACGGCCCACCAAGGUGACGAUAAGUAGGGGUUCUGAGAGGAAGGUCCCCCACAUUGGAACUGAGACACGGACCAAACUCCUACGGGAGGCAGCAGUGAGGAAUAUUGGUCAAUGGGCGAGAGCCUGAACCAGCCAAGUAGCGUGCAGGAUGACGGCCCUAUGGGUUGUAAACUGCUUUUAUAAGGGAAUAAAGUGAGUCUCGUGAGACUUUUUGCAUGUACCUUAUGAAUAAGGACCGGCUAAUUCCGUGCCAGCCGCCGCUGUAA
rnacentral:rRNA from 1 species